UUAUUCUACAUGAUUUGUUGACCUUAUAUUCACAUCGCAGAUGUUGGGUGGGCAAAUUCAAUCUGUACAAGGUUCUGACCUUAAGGACGUUGAAGUGAUGACUUGAGUUGUCGUCCGUUUUGUCAUUGAACCGACGGUGGUGGUGUACCUGUCUUUAUGUGACGAAGCUGCGGCAAUGUGUAGGAGUCUCAUCAGCCAGGUGAUAGAAGCCAGUCUGUCAUGGUGGUCACUACUGUGAAUCCCAAUAUAUUUGGAGGUAACCUGUACCUCAACUCC